GAUGAACGCUGGCGGCGUGCUUAAUACAUGCAGGUCGAGCGAACGGACGAGAAUCUUGCUUCUCUGAUGUUAGCGGCGGACGGGUGAGUAACACGUGGAUAACCCACCUAUAAGACUGGGAUAAAUUCGGGAAACCGGAGCUAAUACCGGAGGAUAUUUUGAACCGCAUGGUUCAAAAGUGAAAGACGGUCUUGCUGUCUCUUAUAGAUGGAUCCGCGCUGCAUUAGCUGGUUGGUAGGGUAACGGCUUACCAAGGCAACGAUGCAUAGCCGACCUGGGAGAGUGAUCGCCCGCCCUGGAGCUGAGCCGCGAUCCAGGGUCCUACGAUAGGCCGCAGUAGCGAAUCGUCGGCAAUGGGCGGAAGCCUGACGGAGCGGCGGCACGCGAGUGAUGAAAGUCUUCGGAUCGGAAAACUGUCUUAUGAGUGAAAAACAUAUUUGUCCGUAACUGAGCACAGCGUGACGGUACUUGGUAAAGAAGCACCGGCUAACUACGUG
rnacentral:rRNA from 1 species